CGAUAAGGCAAAACAAGGGGCAAUCUAUAGCUGCUCCGCUCAAUCACAAAUCAGAUUACAGAAGAAAAGUGAAAUUAUCUGGCAAUACGGCCCUUGCCGAAGUGGGGCCUUGGAAUAGAAAAGUCCGUCAGCAUUAACUUUUACCAUUGCUACUAUCAUCGAUAGAAACUAGACCCAAAUGCUAAUACGUGCACUUCAACAACAGAAUUGUCGCGGAGUCUAUUUGGAUGCAGAAGCUUAGGUUCAAUAUCAACAUCACGUCUGAAGUGCCUGAAGAAAGCAUAGUAAUAAAUCAACCAUAGGAUCAUGACGCUCUCUUUACCAGAGCUGAAAUCUUACUGGUGGGGAAGGACAAGUGGCUUUCUGGCUUUCCUUUUCCCGUAUUUGCCGAACAAAAAAAAAAUAAAAUAGAAAUCACUGACUUGCUGAACUGCCAACUAGAAGCUUAUGGCCCUUCGUUAGCAAUCCAUUUGUCAAGACCAUUGACAUAGCUUUAUCCAAGCUAGAAGAUCAAUAGAUCUACAAGAAGGCAUCAAUCUUUUGGAUGUCCCACAAAUGUUUCAAUUCUUCCAAGGACGCCAGACUAGGUCUAUAUGAAAACCAGAAUUUCACAUCCACAGCCAAUUUAGUUACUCUAAGAACCAGCGGAUGAUUUCUGAACCCACAUUUGCUUCUCAUGGACAGCAUAGCCACUAGCACCUCUUUUUUUUGAAGAUUUCUGCUCAGAGGUCAUGAAGCAAUCACCCUUCAUUCUAUGUGGUGCUGCAUGGUGACGUAAAUGUCUGUUGGAUCCUUUAAUAAAACCAGAAUGAAAUCCAGUAUUUUGCAGCACAGUAUAUGUCAAUUGCUCCUUAUUAUCAUGAGGAACAUCAGAAUGACAAGAAGGAUUCUGAAAACCACGAUCUGGUCUAUCCUUAUUUCUUCUUGUAAUUUUUUCCUUUUUUUCACUAGAAUAGCCUAAACUAUGCCUGUCUUUGAACUUGCCAUCUGAAUUUGAAUUCUGAGAUUUGUGCUGAGGCUUUAUGGCAGUCGAAGAUUGAGUUUCAUGUGCUUCAUUAUUUAAAAGGAUGCUCUUUGUCAGCCUUUCACUAGAUUUAAACCUCUGUUUUUGUUUAGGGGCAGUAGAAACAGGUGAGUUUCCAUGCUGUUGCGACAAAC
rnacentral:misc_RNA from 1 species